rnacentral:lncRNA from 1 species
AAAAAGAAAGCCAUUUAUAUGCAAAUCUUAAAGGUAGUGAAGGGGAGUGAGGAGGCACUGGGCAGAAAAGAAUGAAUAAUAAAGAAAAGCAUUUUUUCCUUCUGAGAAUUCAGUGGAUCUUUUGCUGCAGCUGCAAGUUGAUUUGAAUGUUAGAGCAGCAAGAAUACAUAUACAUAAUUUAAUCUGGAUGUUGUGUCAAAGAAAAAUUGCAUUGGACAGAGUUACACAGGCAAGGAAGACUUUAUUCAAGACUACGGCAAUACUGGAGAGAGACUAAACUCAAGUCCAUUGAAACAAAAGGCGAGAGGGCUUUCAGUGCUGGGGUGAGCUGGCAGAAUGGCACUGGAGGACGUUAUACGGAGGUUGGUGGGUGUGAUUAUACCAUCUGUGUUUGCAAUUGGCAUUUAUUGAAGUUAAACUCCUACCCUCCCGCAGAGACUGGGAGAUAGGGGCCCAAUUGCCUUCAAUAAUUACAUUUCGAAGGGAUGACUCCCAGCUUCUUGAGAAAGACAUUCCUGGGUUGCAAAACUGGCAAGAGCCCGGGAUAAUAUUUAUACACAUUUCAAAGCGGCACAGGAAGAAUAUACAAUUACAAGUUUUCUAAAGUCAAUGAUUUUAGAAGAAGGUCAAGGCGUAGAGUCAGGAGUAAGUCUGUCUAAAGCUGAGUCAAGCUAAUUGAGCAAGGCCAUCCUGAUCAACUGUUGGAUAUGCUAUAGGAGUUCUGGACCCCUUACGGGGACACAGGGGGCAAGGGUACAGGGGGCCAGGGAGCACGAUGAACAGUACUUUAGCUGGCAAAGCCCCCACCUCACUCUUCCACCAGAGCAGAAGAUUUCCAGUUCAUCUCUUUUGCAUAUAGGACUUCCAUGUAAGCUUUCUUUUAAGAAAAGUCUCCUUGCUAAAGAAAGUUUGUAACUAUAAAUUAUGGACAUUUUUUUAUUUGUCUAGUGGAUAGACUAAAGCUGAGAAGGAAUAAA